GACGUAGGGCGCGAGCGUUGUCCGGAUUUCUUGGGCGUAAAGAGCUCGUAGGCGGCUUGUCGCGUCGAAUGUGAAAACUCGGGGCUCAACUCCGAGCUUGCAUUCGAUACGGGCAGGCUAGAGUUCGGUAGGGGAGACUGGAAUUCCUGGUGUAGCGGUGAAAUGCGCAGAUAUCAGGAGGAACACCGGUGGCGAAGGCGGGUCUCUGGGCCGAUACUGACGCUGAGGAGCGAAAGCGUGGGGAGCGAACAGG
rnacentral:rRNA from 1 species